GGCCUUCGGGUUGUAAACCUCUUUUAGUAGGGAAGAAGCGAAAGUGACGGUACCUGCAGAAAAAGCACCGGCUAACUACGUGCCAGCAGCCGCGGUAAUACGUAGGGUGCGAGCGUUGUCCGGAAUUAUUGGGCGUAAAGAGCUCGUAGGCGGUUUGUCACGUCUGCUGUGAAAACCCGAGGCUCAACCUCGGGCCUGCAGUGGGUACGGGCAGACUAGAGUGCGGUAGGGGAGAACGGAAUUCCUGGUGUAGCGGUGGAAUGCGCAGAUAUCAGGAGGAACACCGAUGGCGAAGGCAGUUCUCUGGGCCGUAACUGACGCUGAGGAGCGAAAGCGUGGGGAGCGAACAGGAUUAGAUACCCUGGUAGUCC
rnacentral:rRNA from 1 species